CAAAAACCUUCUUCUCUCCAAUAAUAAAAUAAUCACGAAAAAAUUUAUUAGCAACUCCCUUAUCAGCAAAACUUUCUCCGAGGACAGUGUCUAAGGAUUUCUCCGAGGACGGUGUUUGAAGAUUUCUUCGAGGAUGGUGUUUCCUAGGAGGAGCAAAUUUGGAGCUUGGGGAUUUCGUGGUGGUUUUGUUUUGGAUGAGCUCGAUCUGUGAAGAUCUCCUGGUUUUUUUUCGAAGUAGUAGUAGAUUUUGUUGAAUUUGAGGAUUUGGUUCAAGAAUUGAGCUUCUUGAGCUUUAUGCUGCUCUUGGUUUUGUUAGAAGAAGAUUUGGUGGAGUUAAGUUUGGAUGACGUACCCAUGGAAGUCUUAACGAGUUCCAUGGUUUCAAAGGAGUAUCUCUAUAUAUAAGCUUCAACACUUGAGGAACAGUCUACCUGAUCAAGUUGUGGUCUAGAGAAUCGAGGAAUGACUGUCUGCUCUUGGAAAUUCCAUUGCCUGCAAUGUCCAUGUUGCUCUUCCUCACACCUUUCUGCGGGUAUGACUGUUAAUGACUGGACAGCAUCCUGCAGUUCAGACACAACCGGAACAGAGCUCUCUGUUAUAGACAAUAUCUUCAAGCGAAGAGAAGCCCAACCCAGCUCUAUUGUCGAUGAGAUGAGGAAGUCUUUGAUCGAUACCUAUGUAAAAUUUUGCUUGAUUGGAUGAAAAACACACAACAGUAUAUAUCCCCAAGCGUCAAUGUUAAAAAAUUUCAUAGCUACUGUGGUCUUUAUAGGCUCUCAAUA